GACUCGGUUAUUGCCCUUUCUCUUAUACCAUCGCAUCUGAAAAUCACGGUGGUAGGAACCAUCGUUUCCGUCGACGGAACGCCCUCCUCAGUCGUCGCGCCUUGUCGUUUCCUUCCUCCGCCGAUGCCAGUCCCUCCUGCCUCACCGUCAUCUUCUCCUAGUGACGCCUACAACACAUGGCCUUCCACACAGCGCCUUCAGCUCUUCCUCGUUCAAAAAAGAAGUUGACUGAUUAAGGUUAAUUUUUCGAUCUCCACUAGCGCCUUCCUUAUCCAUCUACCAGCGCUUCCUCCGUCAUUUAAGUCGGCCAUCCCUGCAACUCCGACCGGUAAGAUUAAUUUUUUUUUUCUGAUACGUGAUGUGAAGAAUGAAGAAGUUUAUUUGAAUGCUCUUUUACAAAGUUUCAUGACGAUGAAACUGGCAAUUGGCAGCCAAUCGGAUGGAAUGAUAAUUGCUCAUAGAAGUUAUCGGAUUCUGAGGUAUAUAUCCUUCACCUCUCCUUUUUACUGAUCCUGUUAUCUUCAUGCUCACCGCAUGUUUGUGAAAAAACCUUGUUAGGAAUUGGAAGAUUUUACAGCUCCUGUUAUCGAAUUCAUUUUUACUGGACUAAAAGUUUGAGUAACUUGAUUAUUGUAUUACAUGGUUCUUCAGAAUUUGUUUGAAAUUUGAUACAUUGCAUGGGAAUUGGAACAUGAGAGAAGUUUGGCAAAUUUGUUAAGAAUUGGAAGAUUUGAUCAUUUGUAUGCUUAUCUUGACUAUAUGAUUUUGUUUGGUAGAUUUCUGGGGAAAGUAAAGGCCCAAAAAGGCAGAAAGGAAGCACAAAGACAUUGGAGGGAGAUCAUAACCAAUUUACCAAAACUGAUGUUCAUGCUAGUGUGUGAUUCUUUAUUCCUUGUGUAUGUAGAUUGUGAAUUUAAUUAUCAUAUAAUCAAUUGUUUGGACUUGGGAGAGCCAAUUAUCCCUCUUUAAUUCAAAUUGUAUUCAUUGUUCAUUGUUUCAAAGUAAAAGUUCAUUGUUGACAUGUUC
rnacentral:lncRNA from 1 species